UAUCAAAAUCACCAAAAAAAA
rnacentral:piRNA from 1 species